rnacentral:lncRNA from 1 species
CCCAUGCCACUAUGCUAUCUCUAAUUCUGCCAUCCAGACCGAGCAAACGUACUUAAGACCUUUGUGUAAGAUCAGAAAAUCAUAAGACAGCAUUAAAAAGUACUAUACAGGAGGAGAUGGAACAAGAUGGCCAAAUAGAAGCCUCCAGCAAUCAUCUCCCCGAAAGGAAUUGAACAACUAUCAAAACAAAAUUGAACAACUAUCUAAACAAAAAAGUACCUUCAUAAAAAACAAAAAUCAGGACAAUAUCAGAACGGCACAUACAAGUGUCCCCAAGUCAUAUUUGGAAUAAGAUCACUUGGGAACACAAGUCAAAGAAGGACACAGUGUUCUGCCUCUCCUGAGUAAGCAGCAACAACGCACCAUCUUGGAAUCAGGGGACGGCCCUCACCAGACAACUAAAUCUGCAGACACCUUGGACUUCCCAGCCUCCAGAACUGUCUUUCUGGCAACUGUCUAAACAUAAACCAGAGAAGGGCAAGGCAGACUCAGGAAGGACAAAUAGAAGGCUAUUUUCAUAAAUCGGUGAUCAGAAGAACAUAUUCCAUUUCCUGAGAUGAAAAAAUCCUUAGGAAGAGAAAGUUUUAAGGAAACCAAGAGUUCCAUUAUGGACAAAACCACCACCACAUGUGCAGCAUCCCUCUGGGUCUCUUCCAUGACAACCCUGUGGGAAGCCAGGCAAGUGAGAAUCAAUGUAAACAUGAAGUUCAUGCUGCUUACUGUGUCGUGAUAAUGUCCUUGUCUCCCAAUCAGGAGAUGCUUCUCUUCUGUCAGCCUGCA